AGAGGUUGUAAGUUCAAGGCCACAGCAGAACCACUCACAGCACAGCCCUGUCAGAUUCCAGUGAAUCUGCAAAUUCUGUU
rnacentral:ribozyme from 1 species